rnacentral:lncRNA from 1 species
GAGCCCGGUGGUUUCCCGGUGCUGAGAGGGGAAAUGGAUGCAAGCCCGUCCCUCACCAAGAAGCUAUCUCCAGUUGGUAGCCACUCACAAAGAAAAAUGAGUUUCGGCAGAGCCAUCUCCCUGGGGUACAAACCACAGAGUCAGACCCCAUGCCCAGCAGUUGAUGGCCAACAAAAUAGGAACUCAACUGUAUUUUUAGAUUUUUUUUCUGUCUGAUAUUGCUUUGUUUGUCAUUUUUUACCUUUAUUUUUUUCUCAAGUGGUAUUGUUUCUGAUUUUGUGGUUUUAUUGGUUUUGUGUGUACGUGUAUAUAAGUGUAUUUCUUUGUGCUGUUUUUGUUUGUUUUGUUCUGGUGUGUUUUCUAAAUGAUGAAAAAGAAAGGGUGGCGUUGGAAAGAACUGGGAGACAGGGGAAUCUGAGCAGAGCAUAUUAAAUGAGAAGUUUUUUGUUUUUUGGUUUUUUUUUUUUUUUUUUUUUUUUUUUUUGGUUUUUCGAGGCAGGGUUUCUCUGUAUAGCCCUGGCUGUCCUGGACCUCACUUUGUAGACCAGGCUGGCCUCGAACUCAGAAAUCCGCCUGCCUCUGCCUCCCGAGUGCUGGGAUUAAAGGCGUGCACCACCACGCCCGGAAGUUAUUUUCAAUUUAAAAAAAAAGGCUCCUCCACUUCCAUCAUUAUAUCCGAAAUCUAGAAGGAAAGAAAUGAAAGAGGGAAGGCAAGACAGAGAAGGCAGAAGUAGGAAGAAAUCAGGAAGAAAAGGUGAGCAGGAAAGAGAAGGAAGAGGCAUCGCAUUCCCUUCAAAGACACGAGCUGACGCUGCACACUCCCUCCACUGCCUCACCGGUGACCAGCCUGGACUCGCAUGGCAGCACCCAGGGAAUGCUGAGGGAAGCUGGGAUGGCAGCCUCUGGGUUGCCAGAGCUCCCCAGCUCCGAAAGCCUGACUGCAGUGUGAGGAGAAGAGAAUGUGUACGGAGAGCCAGCAGCAGCCUCUGCCCCAGGGUUGGAAAAGUUAUGUCCUGAGCUCUACCGAAUCUAAAAAUCCACAAUUGUGUGAGACCACAAUAUGGAGUCAGAAAGACAAAGGCAUUCAUCAUUUGUAAGAGGAACUUUUUUUUCAGAUUUCUGAAAUGGGAACAUUACUGAAAUAUAUCCUUUGACUAUUUUGAAUGUUGUUUCAAAAGUGUCCACUCUUGGUCCCUUCUAUUCCCCGUCAGUGUGACGACUCUGAACAUCUGUACAGAAACCUCAAGCGUCUGGGCCUGGACUUCAUUCUACAACUGUUGCCGCCUUUAUUUUACUUGCAUCUGUUUUUAAUUUGUGAGUACACAGGUGUGGGUGCAGGUACCCUAUGGUGGUACACCUAUGGGGUCACCUACUUAUUCUCCAACUUUUCUUUGGUAUUUUUGUUUGGGGCUGUAGACUAGAAUGUUAAUAGCUCAGCAGUAGGCCAGCAAGCUCCUGGGGUCAUGCUGUAUCCAACCUUCCGCACUAGGAUUACACACCACUACCGCGCCCAACUACUUAGUUGGGUUCUGGGCAUCUGAACUCAGGUUUCCAUACUUGAAAGGCAAGCACUCUACCCACUGAGCCAUCUCCUCAGCUUACAUCUAUGUAAAACUAUACUUUGCAAACCAUAAAAUUCACCUUUUUAUCCUAGGUGAUUCAGUGACUUGUUAUAUUCAUAACAUUGUACUGGUAGUAGUUAAUUCCAGAACAUUUUCAUGACCCAAAACCAAAAUAUUGUAUUUAUUUGCAGCCAUUUUGCCAAUAGCCUCUACUUGGUCUUUGAUUUCAUUUUUGUGCCUGGAGUAAAACAGGGACCUAACUUCACUUUUGCGUAAAGAUAUCCAGGUCAAUUAAAUUAUACUUGGUUAUCCACCAAAUAUCUUUUGAAUUAUUUACUAUGCAAGAUACUAAUGUGACCAAUAACUAUCAUUUUGUGAUUUUUACAUAGUUUGUAAAGGAAAACAAAUAGGAUUAGAGAAAAAAAAAAACGACUACCAUUGUCUAGCGCCAUUUCCUGACCAACAUGAGCCUCGCCAGCGCUCCUGGUUUUCUUCGGUCUUUGGUGGUUUAACUGUCUCCACAGGAAGAAGAAUGCAGCACUGAUAAUCCACUCAGAAUUGUUCCCAUCUUACCUUUCUCACAGUGGCCCCGGUUUGACUGGUCACAGUGACAGAUGGGAGAGGGUGAAGACAUGAGCGUUGUAAAGAAAACUAUAAGGGAGAGUUAUGGUUCACCUCCAUCAGGGUCUUUCAUGUGAUUUUUUUUUUCUUAAAAUAACAUAUUUAGGCUUGUUCUAAAUGACAGGGAAAUGUUUUAACAGAUAAAUUUUAAGUAAUAUUUAAUAUUCUCAACUACAACAUUCGAGGUGUCUAUGAUGGUUAAUAUUGUCAACUUGACAGGUUCUACACUUACCUAGGAGACACUCCUCUUAGGCAUGUCCAUGCGGGAGUUGCCAGAUUGGGUUGAUUGAAAUGGGAUGUCCCAUCCUAACUAUGAGUGGUCCUGUUCCAGUAGCUGGGGUCAGAAUGGAAUAAAGGGAGAAAGAACGCUGCGCACCAUCAUUCAUCUCCCUGUGUCCUGACUGAGGAUGUAAUGUGACCAGCAAGCCUGAGCUUCUGUUAUUACAACUUUCUUUCUGUGAUAUUCUGUAUUCUAAAACUGUGAGCAAAAAUACCCCCUAUCCUAUGCUGUUUCUGUCAGGGUAUUUUACCCCAGACACAGAACAAGUAAUACAGCAUGCUGACCUGUGGCAGAUCAUCUCA